rnacentral:rRNA from 1 species
UACGAAGGGGGCUAGCGUUGUUCGGAAUUACUGGGCGUAAAGCGCACGUAGGCGGAUCGAUCAGUCAGGGGUGAAAUCCCAGGGCUCAACCCUGGAACUGCCUUUGAUACUGUCGAUCUGGAGUAUGGAAGAGGUGAGUGGAACUGCGAGUGUAGAGGUGAAAUUCGUAGAUAUUCGCAAGAACACCAGUGGCGAAGGCGGCUCACUGGCCCGUAACUGACGCUGAGGCGCGAAAGCGUGGGGAUCAAACAGG